CCUACGGGGGGCAGCAGUGAGGAAUAUUGGUCAAUGGACGAGAGUCUGAACCAGCCAAGUAGCGUGAAGGAUGACUGCCCUAUGGGUUGUAAACUUCUUUUAUAUGGGAAUAAAACGUUCCACGUGUGGGAUUUUGUAUGUACCAUAUGAAUAAGGAUCGGCUAACUCCGUGCCAGCAGCCGCGGUAAUACGGAGGAUCCGAGCGUUAUCCGGAUUUAUUGGGUUUAAAGGGAGCGUAGGUGGAUUGUUAAGUCAGUUGUGAAAGUUUGCGGCUCAACCGUAAAAUUGCAGUUGAAACUGGCAGUCUUGAGUACAGUAGAGGUGGGCGGAAUUCGUGGUGUAGCGGUGAAAUGCUUAGAUAUCACGAAGAACUCCGAUUGCGAAGACAGUUCACUGGACUGCAACUGACACUGAGGCUCGAAAGUGUGGGUAUCAAACAGGAUUAGAUACCCUUGUAGUC
rnacentral:rRNA from 1 species